GUGGGGAAUAUUGGACAAUGGGCGAAAGCCUGAUCCAGCCAUGCCGCGUGUGUGAAGAAGGUCUUCGGAUUGUAAAGCACUUUAAGUUGGGAGGAAGGGCAGUAAGUUAAUACCUUGCUGUUUUGACGUUACCGACAGAAUAAGCACCGGCUAACUUCGUGCCAGCAGCCGCGGUAAUACGAGGGGUGCAAGCGUUAAUCGGAAUUACUGGGCGUAAAGCGCGCGUAGGUGGGUUUGUAAGUUGGAGGUGAAAUCCCCGGGCUCAACCUGGGAACUGACUCCAAAACUGCAUGACUAGAGUACGGUAGAGGGUAGUGGAAUUUCCUGUGUAGCGGUGAAAUGCGUAGAUAUAGGAAGGAACACCAGUGGCGAAGGCGACUACCUGGACUGAUACUGACACUGAGGUGCGAAAGCGUGGGGAGCAAACAGGAUUAGAUACCCGAGUAGUCC
rnacentral:rRNA from 1 species